GAUGAACGCUGGCGGCGUGCUUAACACAUGCAAGUCGAACGGUGAACGCGGAGCUUGCUCUUUUGGAUCAGUGGCGAACGGGUGAGUAACACGUGAGUAACCUGCCCCUGACUCUGGGAUAAGCGCUGGAAACGGCGUCUAAUACCGGAUAUGUGACGGGAUUGCAUGGUUUCCGUCUGGAAAGAUUUUCGGUUGGGGAUGGGCUCGCGGCCUAUCAGCUUGUUGGUGAGGUAAUGGCUCACCAAGGCAACGACGGGUAGCCGGCCUGGGAGGGGGACCGGCAACACGGGAAUGGAGACAGGGCCCGGCCCCUACCGGGGGGAAGCGGGGGGGAAUAUGGAACAAGGGCGGAAAGCUUGAUCAGGCACGGCGCGGUAGGGAAGAACGCCUUUCGGGUUGAAACCUCUUUUAGCAGGGAAGAAGCGAAAGUGACGGUACCUGCAGAAGAAGCGCCGGCUAACUACGUG
rnacentral:rRNA from 1 species